CUACGCACUCCUACGGGAGGCAGCAGUGGGGAAUAUUGCACAAUGGGCGCAAGCCUGAUGCAGCCAUGCCGCGUGUAUGAAGAAGGCCUUCGGGUUGUAAAGGUACUUUCAGCAGUGAGGAAGGUGGGUAUGUUAAUAGCAUAUUCAUUUGACGUUAGCUGCAGAAGAAGCACCGGCUAACUCCGUGCCAGCAGCCGCGGUAAUACGGAGGGUGCGAGCGUUAAUCGGAAUUACUGGGCGUAAAGCGCAUGCAGGUGGUUUGUUAAGUCAGAUGUGAAAGCCCGGGGCUCAACCUCGGAAUUGCAUUUGAAACUGGCAAACUAGAGUACUGUAGAGGGGGUAGAAUUUCAGGUGUAGCGGUGAAAUGCGUAGAGAUCUGAAGGAAUACCGGUGGCGAAGGCGGCCCCCUGGACAGAUACUGACACUCAGAUGCGAAAGCGUGGGGAGCAAACAGGAUUAGAUACCCUGGUAG
rnacentral:rRNA from 1 species